AAAAAAAAAAAAAAAAACGGCCGCGGUGUAUUUUCGUCCGAAUUUAUUAACUCCGUUCAAUAUUUAUGAAGGAAGAAACUUUGCCUUUUGCCAAUAAUAAUCGUUCGAAUAAAGCCAUCAAUUGUCACGUCUGGUAAUUUUCCGUUUAAUUUUCUCUCGCUUGUUGUCCGUUUAUUUGUAAUGUAAAGUGGGAUACCUAUAUAAGAUAUUGAAUAUUUAUAGACUCGACGUACGAUAGUAACUGUAUAGCAUUCGGUAUUUCCAUACGCAUAAUAAUAUUUCAUAGUUCGAAGUUGGUUACCAACUUUUUUUAGUAACUAAUGUUUACUUACUUAUAUUAACUUUAUCGAAUAAAUCGAAUCAACGAAUAAUAUUAUGUUAAGAAAAUAAUACUAGUAAUUUUUUAAUAUCGCGACGAUUUGGAAACAACGUGAUUACAUUUAUCGAAUCAAAACAAACUAGCUAGGGAAAUAACACAAUUCGUUAUUUUUACGCGGACGAUAUCGACCGAAUCUAGUAAUUUUUUAAUAUCGCGACGAUUUGGAAACAACGUGAUUACAUUUAUCGAAUCAAAACAAACUAGCUAGGGGAAUAACACAAUUGGUUAUUUUUACGCGGGCGAUAUCGAUCGAAUCUAGUAAUUUUUUAAUAUCGCGACGAUUUGAAAACAACGUGAUUACAUUUAUCGAAUCAAAACGAGCUAGCUAGGGGAAUAACACAAUUGGUUAUUUUUACGCGGACGAUAUCGACCGAAUCUAGUAAUUUUUUAAUAUCGCGACGAUUUGGAAACAACGUGAUUACAUUUAUCGAAUCAAAACAAACUAGCUAGGGGAAUAACACAAUUGGUUAUUUUUACGCGGGCGAUAUCGAUCGAACGAUACGACGACAUAUUCGAAGAUACUCGAAAACGAGAUCGGGCCCCGUCGAUCGCGAGAAGCGAGAUCUCGUUCUCGGGAAUCGCGAUAAACGACUUCCUCGUGGUAUUUUCGAUCGAAAUAACCUCUGGCGACCUCGAGUCCUUUGGCGAAUCGAAUACUUUCUCCUGGGAAUGGCUCGCGAAACGUUAUUAAUCUCUCGAUCGGUCGAAAUAAAAGAGAGAAGGCUAUUGUUGGCGUGGACCGAGAGCACACAGCACCGCAUACCCCUCUCCUCCCGGCCGCAGCACAGGUGCACGUAUACGCGAGAACGCCGACCUUUCCAGACCACCAAACGCCACCAUGCGGUGUGAAACCUACCUCAUCUAACUGGACCAUUAUCGCGCCAACACCACACCCUUUAUCCAUUAUCUUUUACAAACUAACUGAAUUUCACGCUUUGCUUUUACCGUGUCGAUCGUAUCCAAUUUAUUGCCGGAUGCGGCUCCCAAUCCUAUCUCCAUACUUUCUACCCUUCUUGUCCAUAUUUCCAACAUUUUCACCUCUAAUAAUCGCUAUCCAUUUUUUUCUCCCGUUCCAAGCUUUGGAAUCGAUAAUUCAAGAUUAGGAAAUUGCCCGUGAAAUUUUUCCUGCAAAAAAUAUAAGCGUAUCCGUUUUAGCUAGUGAUCGAAAACCUUUCUAUUCUCUUAAAUAUGACGAUGCGCAAAAAGUUUGCCAUUGACUCGAACUCGAAUCCUAUCCUACGAGCCACGUAAGAAAUACGUGGGCUCGGUUCUCAUCAUUGUAGUACCGUACACAGCGCACGCGACAUUCUACGAGUUUAUUUCUCUUCCAAAGAUGUUCGCGCCAUAAAUUCCACGGAUCUAGAAUCUCUUCUUAUACCAUUUAUUUUCGAAUACGUAUGCGUUAUAUACGUAAGUGUAUGUCAAACAGCGUGCGCGAGAAAAACGUUCUCCUUCGUAGCGUAAAUUUCUUCGAGCCUACAUUUCCUUGUAUAAUUUUAUUUCAAACAGAGAAUAUUGCGAUAAACGUGAGACCGUUCAUAAUCGUUGCUUUUUCGUUGCCGAUAUUUUAUUAAAAAAAAAAAAAAAAAAAAGAAUAAAUAAACGGAUAAGCGAAGCGUAUCCGUUGAAAUAAUAUGAAUGAAACGACAGGAAUUCGAAUACCUGUUUAUUUGCUUUAACGGGAGACUAUGGAGAGAAGGUAGGCUUGGUUCAUAAACGAGGCGCGAGAGCAUUGUACUUAAAUCCCCCGAGAAAUCUGCUCUUUCUCACGAGCCAGAAAUUAUAAAAACAAUACGUAAUAACGCUUCAUCUUAGAUCCGAUCUGAUCCGUUGAAAAUUCAACGGAAUGGAUAUGUAUCGUGGCGGAAGAAAGCACGGUCGAAGGGAAAGGAUGAAAGCCAAGUGGAGUCUGAUCCUUCCCCCUCCAACGAUGCGCGACAAUUCCUCGAGUCGCGCACACGCGUGUUAAGUCGCGUUCGUUUCUAAAUUGUGGAUUCGGCAACGCGGCGCGACCAAUCAGAAUCGAGCGUCACUUGGAUCGAUACGACGCGACAACCGUGCGUCGAAACAGGGACAAACGCGUGCUAAUUGAAUCGAUUGCGAACGACGCUAUGCUGAAACUCGAUGCGUAAAUUUAUAAGAGUAUUUCGAGAUGAUUUUUAUCCACGUUUCCAACCAUAUUUAACGUUAAUAUCGUCCAACGUUAUUGAAACGGUAAAAAAUAGUGAAAAACGCGCGAUAUAACGGAUGGUGCAACAGUUUUUCGAUGAAACAGCUUGGAAAAAAUGUCGCGUCACGGAACAGAACCGUGUAAAACGUUGUCCCGUUCACUGUUUAGAAAUAUUCGAAUUCGUCUCGUUUCGAUUAGCUUCGAUUAAAAAAAAAAAUCAUUUUAUCGAGGAAUAAUUUAAUUGAUUCGUUGUAUAAGGAUAAAUCGUGACAUCUCUGAAACGAUGAUCGACGUAUAUAGACAACCGUGGUUACUCAACAUUAACAUCGGUGCAGGGAGGACGAGGCAAAUGGACGUUUAAGGAGAUCGAGGCAAGAAGGAGAGCCGCGUUCAAAAAAACAACUUGGAUGGAAACAAUGCGUUGCGGGGAAAAUAUUCGUUUUAGGAAAAGGAAAUACAAAUAAUUAUACCAGACGAUUCUUGCUUUAGCGGUUUCGUUAAUUGAACAAGUUCUUUUCGAGCAAACGAGAACGGAUGUACGCGUUUGUCGCCAUUUUCCAUUCUUUUCUCCACGAACGAUUCUCAACAAUUUUUUUUUUUUUUUUUUUUUAUAAACAAAAAUGGCGUUAAAACGUAUCUAUCUAAACAAGAAGAAAGAAGGAUUCGAGGAGAAGAAGAAACGUUGUUUCGACAUCCGCGAGCGUGAAAUAUUUCGAUAUUUUAUAUUCGUUUUACAUCGGCAGAUAAAUCGGCGUCUUGUACUACGCGUCGGUGAACGGAAUACGAAACAAACUUGUCGUCUUAUUCGUAGCGUGCGUAACGAAUUUUUAACGUCAUGCUUAUU